rnacentral:rRNA from 1 species
CCCUUAGAUGUUCUGGGCCGCGCGCGCGCUACACUGACGCAUUCAACGAGUCUCCUUGGCCGAGAGGCCUGGGUAAUCUUGUGAACGUGCGUCGUGAUAGGGAUAGAUUAUUGCAAUUAUUAAUCUUGAACGAGGAAUUCCUAGUAAACGCAGAUCAUCAAUCUGCAUUGAUUACGUCCCUGCCCUUUGUACACACCGCCCGUCGCACCUACCGAUUGGAUGGUCCGGUGAGGCCUCGGGAUUGUGGCCGGUGCAUUCAUUUGUGUCGGUUGCGAGAACUUGUCCAAACCUUAUCAUCUAGAGGAAGGUGAAGUCGUAACA